AGAGUUUGAUCAUGGCUCAGAAUCAACGCUGGCGGCGUGCCUAACACAUGCAAGUCGAACGCGAAAGUCCCGCAAGGGAUCAGUAGAGUGGCAAACGGGUGAGUAACACGUGGGUGACCUGCCUUCGAGUGGGGGAUAACGUCCCGAAAGGGACGCUAAUACCGCAUGACAUCCUGCCUUUGAAGAGGUGGAGCUUAAAGCCGGGGAUCGCAAGACCUGGCGCUUGAAGAGGGGCCCGCGCCUGAUUAGCUAGUUGGUGAGGUAACGGCUCACCAAGGCAACGAUCAGUAUCCGGCCUGAGAGGGCGGACGGACACACUGGGACUGAGACACGGCCCAGACUCCUACGGGAGGCAGCAGUGGGGAAUUGUUCGCAAUGGGCGCAAGCCUGACGACGCAACGCCGCGUGGAGGAUGAAGACCUUCGGGUCGUAAACUCCUUUCGAUCGAGACGAACGGCCCUUGGGCUAAUCACCAGGGGAGUGACGGUACCGAGAGAAGAAGCCCCGGCUAACUCCGUGCCAGCAGCCGCGGUAAUACGGGGGGGGCAAGCGUUGUUCGGAAUUACUGGGCGUAAAGGGCUCGUAGGUGGCCAACUAAGUCAUACGUGAAAUCCCUCGGCUUAACCGGGGAACUGCGUCUGAUACUGGAUGGCUUGAGGUUGGGAGAGGGAUGCGGAAUUCCAGGUGUAGCGGUGAAAUGCGUAGAUAUUGGGAGGAACACCAGUGGCGAAGGCGGCUCACUGGACCGGUACUGACGCUGAUGCGCGAAAGCGUGGGGAGCAAACGGGAUUAGAUACCCUAGUAGUCC
rnacentral:rRNA from 1 species